AUGAGAUUUUCUUCCCUGCUUACGCUGUGCCUAAGAAACAAGUUUUUGGCUGGAAAUGCUGACUGCUCUCACAAACUAAUACUACUUCUGCUUUUUCACUGGUUGACUGCUGAGGUCCCUAGGAGGGAACGGAGUGAUGCUGUAAGUGCAGGCGUUGUGCCUGCUGAUCCCUGCUCACCCCAGCAUGACUGGAUUUUCCUGUCUCUUACACAAGGAAGACGAGCAGUAGACCAACUAAUCCCUGUAGGUCCCGAUCACUGUGGAGAAGGCGUUGUAGGUACUACAACUACAGCACAAAGCCCUUGGCUUGCCAUGUUGGGGAUUUACUGCUGGGAGAUGAUUAACAUUCCUGAGAAGCAGUGA
rnacentral:lncRNA from 1 species